rnacentral:lncRNA from 1 species
CAGAGUCGGUUACAAGGAAGGAGAUCUACAUAUCCGUAUUGCCAAGCUUGUCUUCCACGCCAAGGAGAGUCCCAUCCGGACACGGGACGAAGUCUUCAAUCUUGUAUCUUCAUAGUCCAACAGUCCGGCCAAAGGAAAUAGUCCGGCUGUCCGGAUACCCCCUAAUCCAGGACUCCCUCAGUGAGUUAUGUGUGGUUUCAGGGUUACAGAUGCCACAAGGCUUGCAUAACAAGGGUGGAUUCCCUGAAAGGGAAGGCUUGCCAACCAAAAGGUGGUUCUUUCUUCUGUUAAUUGUUUUGAUCCUUUUUUUUAUUUAUGCAAAAAGGAAUGCUAUUGCUUAUGUUCUCUGACGAACUGUACCUUGAAUUCUUGAUUUUGCAAUUCACUGAAGAAUCGUCCAUCACAAACUCUGUUCAUUGAGAACUUUACCUGGAUAUGCUAAAGCUUGCGCACUGACAUUUGUUGUUCAGUUAGCGCUGGAGUUGUGCAACUCCCAUGUAGUUUUCUAAUGUGUCAACAAACCGAAAAUUGUUGAUCCUUCUCACUGCAGAUCGUGUCAUGAGCUCGGAGACAUUAAGGCACUGUUAGUUAGAUGUUCCAAUUCUUGUGUACAAGAAGCUACAUGGUGGCUCAUGAGAUAGAUGCACUAGCUCAAUCAUCAGAUCUUGGUGAUGUAAUGAUGCUUGGCUAGGCUUUAGUAUGUACUAAUUAUAUACCUGUGGAUUACAUCAGAGAUUAGAAGAGUUGCAUGUGAAUAUAUGUUGGAAUAAGAGAAUAGGGAAAAGGCCCAAUACAGUGCUGCAACGACCAAAACAAACGAAAACGAAGAUUACAGUGAUGGAUCUUCACAUCCAGAUAGCCAAGGGAACUUUUUUCUUUUGAAAUGCAAUGUACCUCUUACAUUACAUAGACAUGCCAGUUAGUUUCUAGCAGCCGAUGAGAAUGAAUACAACCAUUUGUUCCUUGUCUGGCAUGUGUAUUUGCUUUGUCCUCUGCUUCUGAUAAGGCAAGGCAGAUCAAACCAACACAGUAAUCCUCUGAUACUUCAUUAUAUUCUGAAAAAACACCGAUUUUCCGUGUCAGGGUAGUACUAUGUCAAACUAAUGCUUUGUACUACAUGUUCCGGUGUAUACCCUAACAAUAUUAGGCAUUUGCAUUGUCCUUUGCUUUGUUUGUUCAUACGGCAUUUGUUUCUUUUCAGUUAUAGCCACUUUUAUUUCCGAUUUGAACCCAUCCAUGUCUUGUUUUCAUUUGUUUCUUACAAAUUCUUUCUGAAAAGAUGUUGUCUUUCAGUUGUAUAUUCAUUCUCUUGAUUUUCAUUUGUUUCUUAUGCAAGGGUUCUCUCGAAAAAAAAUUGUAGGCAAGACGAAACUGAAAAGGUCAUUUGGGACAAGUGGAAGGAGGAAAGCCGCCAUAAGAUCGAUAGUAACUUGCCUCCGCUCUAACAAGAACAUGUUCGUCCAUUGGAACUAUCAAAUUCAAACUCCUAGAUGUCUAUGUCAGGAUGUAGGACUUUGUCCAGGCAGAGAUAUCCCCUCUGAUCUUUUCAUGAAUACUUUCACACUUUUUUCUGUAAAGUGCUGCUAAUUUUAAUAAAACCCCUCUGUUCAAAACACAAUGUAAUUUCUAGCUCCUAGAAGAGCUUGUUCAUUCAGACCUUUCCUUACAUUUUAACUAUGAUAGUGACCUCUUUUAUUUUUCUAUGUAACGAUCAUAUGCAUAAAUAGUUGAAAAUGGUGUCUGAAUGGCCCCUUUUUAGCUAAGUAUUUACCAUGCACCUAAAUAAUUUCUAAAACUUAAUAUAUAUUAAAGAAACGCAAAUGGUUUCAAAACUUAAUAUAUAUUUCUAAAACUUAAUAUUCACAUCAGUAUUCAGUACAGAGCAGAUCAAUUGAUUUUCAUAAAAACGCAUAUUAGAAUUAUCAUUGGAUUGGUUUUCAAGUGCCUUUGUUAGACAAUAGUGCAGAGGGAGUAAAUUAGUUUCACAGAAUGUUUCCUAGGAUUUUAGUUGCACUUCAUUCUGUUGUUUCGGUCUUUGUACAUUCAGAUGCUUUUUAAUUCAAAAGGAAACAACUCACAGAGGUUAUGUACGGGAGGCUACACUCUGCCUCUUCCUCGUGGUGCGGCGGACGGCGGCUCUUGCGGUCGUGUGCUGACGACGGCCUCAACGGGUGGGCGACCAGUGGCGGUGCCAGGGGUUAGCUGU